rnacentral:rRNA from 1 species
UAGUGAGUUUGAUCCUGGCUCAGGAUGAACGCUGGCGGCAGGCCUAACACAUGCAAGUCGAACGCUCCGCAAGGAGAGUGGCAGACGGGUGAGUAACACGUGGGAAUCUUCCUGUCGGUACGGAAUAGCUCAGGGAAACUUGAGGUAAUACCGCAUACGCCCUUCGGGGAAAGAUUUAUCGCCUAAGGAUGUGCCCGCGUAGGAUUAGCUAGUUGGUAAGGUAAAAGCUUACCAAGGCGACGAUCCUUAGCUGGUCUGAGAGGAUGAUCAGCCACACUGGGACUGCGACACGGCCCAGACUCCUACGGGAGGCAGCAGUGGGGAAUAUUGGACAAUGGGCGAAAGCCUGAUCCAGCAAUGCCGCGUGAGUGAUGAAGGCCCUUAGGGUUGUAAAGCUCUUUUACCCGGGAUGAUAAUGACAGUACCGGAGAAUAAGCCCCGGCUAACUCCGUGCCAGCAGCGCGG